CCAAGUUACGUUGAUAUUACUUUUAGAGAGAAAUAAGGUCUUGAUUGUGAGGAGGAAGUUCUGUAAAAAGAAGGAGAGGAAGUCGUUGGAAAAUAAGAGAGGAAACGAAGAAGAGGCAAAGGCUUGACGGAAAACGGACAGCUGCAAGUAUCGGCUGUAACAGUCCACAAAUCAGAGAGAAAUACAAACCCAGUAAGGUGUGAAGCCUUAAACAUUCAAAUCUUGUCCAACCAAGUUGAGGUGAUUAUGAAUGAGGAGAUCGGAACGUGGACGUGGAGUGUGGUGGAUAUUUGAAGAUAACUUUUAAUAGUCAGAAUGAUGUUUUGUAAUAUUUUCGAUAUUACACUCUUAUGAUAUAUGUAUAGGAUUGCUACACCAUAUGUUCUUAAAGCUUAUUUAAGCUUAUGAAAAGAGCCAAGUCUCAUUUUA